rnacentral:rRNA from 1 species
CAGUCGCCACGGUAAUACGGAGGGUGCAAGCGUUAAUCGGAAUUACUGGGCGUAAAGCGCACGCAGGCGGUCUGACAAGUCAGAUGUGAAAUCCCCGGGCUUAACCUGGGAACUGCAUUUGAAACUGUCAGGCUGGAGUCUUGUAGAGGGGGGUAGAAUUCCAGGUGUAGCGGUGAAAUGCGUAGAGAUCUGGAGGAAUACCGGUGGCGAAGGCGGCCCCCUGGACAAAGACUGACGCUCAGGUGCGAAAGCGUGGGGAGCAAACAGGAUUAGAUACCCGAGUAGUCCCUGUCUCUUAUAC